rnacentral:tRNA from 1 species
GCUAGCGUAGCUUAACACAAAGCAUAACACUGAAGAUGUUAAGAUGGGUCUAAGAAACUCCGCAUGCA